CGCUACGGACUUAAAAUCCGUCGACUUUAUAAGUCGUGAGGGUUCAAGUCCUNUCUAUCCCCA
rnacentral:tRNA from 1 species